UAACAGGGCAAGGCAGCAGACAGGAACAAAGGGAAACACAGACAGACUCAUUAGAAUGAUAGAGUGGCUUAUAGGCCAUUUUUUAAAGUUUAAGUGAUUUUAAUCACUUAAUUUUCAUUGUAGGCUAAUAGAAUAAAUUGGCUUUACUGCAGCAAAAUAUUGAUUUAGGAAGUACUCUAUUUCAUGGGAGCCGAGGAAAAUUGUGUCGUGAUGACUUUUGCAAAUGAUAAUAAAACUUGUGUCUUUUGUCUGUCAAAUUUCUGGAUGAAGAAAUACUUUGAUCAUUGUUUAAUUGGUGGAAAAGAACGAAGAGAGAAACAGGUCCCAGGCCGUGAAAGACUCUGUAAAUGCAGAAGACACGUGGGGUCCGUACCAGAUGAUUUAUCUGCUUGCUCCCUUUAGACACGCUUAAUUGGCAGUGAGGAGAAAUGGCUAAUUAGUGACGGUGGAGUGAUUAAGGACACAAGGGCAGGAGCAGCUUUCAACCUGUCAAUUAAAGAAAGCCAGACUUCAGCAUUCUCUGGCACAAUAGCAGCGUCUGACAGGACGAAUAUGCCUUUAGUGGAAAGGAGUGUCUCUCGUACGACAUUCAGCAUUAGUAAAACUGGAUGCUGCUUCAGCGUCUGCUCGGAAGUAAUAACAGCUCAAACAAAGUGGCUGAUUAUAUGCUGCUCGAUGCAGACAUGUUGUGCAUACGACGUCAUUGUAAUAACUGUUAUGGGUUUGAAUAUGAAAGAUGCUUUUAAAUGAAUAAAGGUUGAAUCCGUGGCUCAA